rnacentral:rRNA from 1 species
AUUGAACGCUGGCGGAAUGCUUUACACAUGCAAGUCGAACGGUAGAGGGGGCAACCCCUUGAGAGUGGCGAACGGGUGAGUAAUAUAUCGGAACGUGCCCAGUCGUGGGGAUAACGUAGCGAAAGUUACGCUAAUACCGCAUACGAUCUAAGGAUGAAAGCGGGGGAUCGCAAGACCUCGCGCGAUUGGAGCGGCCGAUAUCAGAUUAGGUAGUUGGUGAGGUAAAGGCUCACCAAGCCAACGAUCUGUAGCUGGUCUGAGAGGACGACCAGCCACACUGGAACUGAGACACGGUCCAGACUCCUACGGGAGGCAGCAGUGGGGAAUUUUGGACAAUGGGACGUCAAGUCUGGAUCCAGCCAUUCCGCGUGCAGGAUGAAGGCCCUACGGGUUGGUAAAACCUUGG